UCCCCUUCCCCUUUCCUCUCCCCUUUCCCUUCCCUUUUCCCUUUCCCUUUCCCUUUCCCUUUCCCUUUCCCUUUCCCUUUCCCUUUCCCUUUCCCUUUCCCUUUCCCGGGGCUUUCCAGCCAGGGAAUCCCGGGAACUCGCCGGUCCCAGCUGCCACCACAUCCCUGGGAAAUGCUGGUGCCAAACCACGGGCAGGGCUGGGGCUGUUGCUCCUCCCGGUGCUUCGGGAAACAAUUCCCAGUUUGGGGAGCAGCGGGAUGGGGUGAAACCCCCCAGGGCUGCCACCGGGAGCCGCGGCCAGCGGGAGUGUCCGGUCGCAGCGGUGCCACCAGCGGUGACCCCGCCGGUGACAGCGGGGGAGCGGCGGGAGCGGCGCGGCGCCGGCCCUGACAGCUUUAAUGCCGAACUAGGGGCACCUCCCUAGCCCUGGAACCCCUGGAGCUGGUCAGGAACCAGCACUGCCGCCGCUGGAGCAGGGGAGCAGCACCCCCAGCCCGGCUGAGCCGGAGCUCACACCUCCAUUGACGGAUAUUUCCCUUUCCCUCCUUUUAAGGGAGAUGCUGAGAUAUUACAGGAUGGGGUGACAGAGCGGGAUGAGAUGGGAUGCACGAGGAGAGAGGCGCGGAGAUAAAUGGGGACCCCCGGAGCUGUUAUUUCAGCCUGAUUGCGGAUCCGGGAGCGGAGCCGAGCCCGAUCCCGCGGGCUGUGGGGAGGCUUCAGAGCGCAGAAGAAAAUAAAAUUUGUUUAAAUGCAAGCGCCAGCCUGGCGGGGCCUGGGCACGUGGUACCUGGGAGAGGAUUCCCACCAAGCGGCGCCGAAAACGCCGCGGAGGCAGCUCAGCCUCCUCUGGCUGCGGGGAUGCUCAUGGAAUAACGGGAACUGGUCUGCACCGGCGGCUGGAACUGGGCUGGGGCUGGCACCACACUGUGGGGCUGGCACCCCAUUGUGGGGCUGGCACCCCAUUGUGGGGCUGGUACCCCUUUGUGGGGCUGGUACCCCAAUAUUGGACAGGUAUCCCACUGUGGGGCUGAUACCCCAUUGCAUUCCUGGUAUCCCUUUGUG